AUGCCAACAAUCCAAGGUGGUGGGUUGGACAACCCCUUUUUUGAGGAAGAGGUGUGGGCGGCGAUUCAGGCCACUCCGGCAAAGAAAUCCCCCGGUCCAGACGGUUUCAAUGGCACAUUCUUCCGAUCGUGCUGACAGAUAAUCAAAGAAGAUAUCAUGUAGGCCUUCAGCCAAUUCUACAACCUUGCUGGCAACAAUUUUGGCUUGCUCAACUCGGCGAUUGUAGCCCUAAUCCCCAACAAAGACGGCACGAACGACAUCAACGACUACCGUCCGAUUAGCCUGAUACACUCCAUAGCCAAGUUAGUCUCCAAAGUGCUCUCGAUUAGGCUCGCCCUGGUUGUUCAACACAUCAUAUCACCGGCCCAGACAGCUUUUCUGAAAACCAGAUGCCUUCACGACAGCUUCGUCUACGUCCGAAACUGUGUUAGAGCUCUGCACCGCAGAAAGACGUCGGCUGCCCUCCUCAAGUUAGACAUCUCCAGAGCCUUCGAUAAUGUAUCUUGGGAAUAUCUGCUCGAGCUCAUAGUGAAUCUAGGGUUUAGUGCUAGAUGGCGUGAUUGGAUCACCCUGCUGCUCGCCACUUCAUUGUCGGCCUUCCUCCUCAACGGCGUCCCCAGCCAAACCAUCAUGCAUCGGCGCGGCCUUCGGCAGGGCGACCCCCUAUUGCCGCUUCUUUUUAUCCUUGCGAUCGAUCCCAUCCAUCGACGAAUUAAAGCAACUGAAGAAGAACUCCACAUUACACGGUGCCAGGGAGGGAGAUCAAAUUUAGGAUUAGCUUAUACGCGGAUGACGCCAUCAUUUUUGCAAAUCCCAUCAGGGAGGAGAUCGACUAUCUAA
rnacentral:rRNA from 1 species